rnacentral:rRNA from 1 species
ACGGACUAGCCAAUGAAAUUGAUCCUUCAGUACAAAAGCUGAAAUUAACCCAUAAGACGAGAAGACCCUGUGGAGCUUCAAAACCAAAACCACUAAACAUGCCUCCUGGUUUUUUAGUUGGGGCGACUUUGGAGCAAAAAAAACCCUCCAAAACAUAAAUCUAUUUAUUAAGAACAACACACCAAAAAUAAUAUUAUAGACCCAGCAGUAUUAAUUUACUGUCUGAUCAAUGAACCAAGUUACCCCAGGGAUAACAGCGCUAUCCUCUUCUAGAGUCCUUAUCGACAAGGGGGUUUACGACCUCGAUGUUGGAUCAGG